GGGUGACAGCCCCGUACACAAAAAUGCACAUGCUGUGAGCUCGAUGAGUAGGGCGGGACACGUGGUAUCCUGUCUGAAUAUGGGGGGACCAUCCUCCAAGGCUAAAUACUCCUGACUGACCGAUAGUGAACCAGUACCGUGAGGGAAAGGCGAAAAGAACCCCGGCGAGGGGAGUGAAAAAGAACCUGAAACCGUGUACGUACAAGCAGUGGGAGCACGCUUAGGCGUGUGACUGCGUACCUUUUGUAUAAUGGGUCAGCGACUUAUAUUCUGUAGCAAGGUUAACCGAAUAGGGGAGCCGAAGGGAAACCGAGUCUUAACUGGGCGUUAAGUUGCAGGGUAUAGACCCGAAACCCGGUGAUCUAGCCAUGGGCAGGUUGAAGGUUGGGUAACACUAACUGGAGGACCGAACCGACUAAUGUUGAAAAAUUAGCGGAUGACUUGUGGCUGGGGGUGAAAGGCCAAUCAAACCGGGAGAUAGCUGGUUCUCCCCGAAAGCUAUUUAGGUAGCGCCUCGUGAAUUCAUCUCCGGGGGUAGAGCACUGUUUCGGCAAGGGGGUCAUCCCGACUUACCAACCCGAUGCAAACUGCGAAUACCGGAGAAUGUUAUCACGGGAGACACACGGCGGGUGCUAACGUCCGUCGUGAAGAGGGAAACAACCCAGACCGCCAGCUAAGGUCCCAAAGUCAUGGUUAAGUGGGAAACGAUGUGGGAAGGCCCAGACAGCCAGGAUGUUGGCUUAGAAGCAGCCAUCAUUUAAAGAAAGCGUAAUAGCUCACUGGUCGAGUCGGCCUGCGCGGAAGAUGUAACGGGGCUAAACCAUGCACCGAAGCUGCGGCAGCGACACUGUGUGUUGUUGGGUAGGGGAGCGUUCUGUAAGCCUGCGAAGGUGUGCUGUGAGGCAUGCUGGAGGUAUCAGAAGUGCGAAUGCUGACAUAAGUAACGAUAAAGCGGGUGAAAAGCCCGCUCGCCGGAAGACCAAGGGUUCCUGUCCAACGUUAAUCGGGGCAGGGUGAGUCGACCCCUAAGGCGAGGCCGAAAGGCGUAGUCGAUGGGAAACAGGUUAAUAUUCCUGUACUUGGUGUUACUGCGAAGGGGGGACGGAGAAGGCUAUGUUGGCCGGGCGACGGUUGUCCCGGUUUAAGCGUGUAGGCUGGUUUUCCAGGCAAAUCCGGAAAAUCAAGGCUGAGGCGUGAUGACGAGGCACUACGGUGCUGAAGCAACAAAUGCCCUGCUUCCAGGAAAAGCCUCUAAGCAUCAGGUAACAUCAAAUCGUACCCCAAACCGACACAGGUGGUCAGGUAGAGAAUACCAAGGCGCUUGAGAGAACUCGGGUGAAGGAACUAGGCAAAAUGGUGCCGUAACUUCGGGAGAAGGCACGCUGAUACGUAGGUGAAGUCCCUCGCGGAUGGAGCUGAAAUCAGUCGAAGAUACCAGCUGGCUGCAACUGUUUAUUAAAAACACAGCACUGUGCAAACACGAAAGUGGACGUAUACGGUGUGACGCCUG
rnacentral:rRNA from 1 species